rnacentral:lncRNA from 1 species
UUAGAAGUAGUAAUAUUGAAGUUUCCUCUGAAUUUUAUAUAUUUUGUAGUAUGUUACAAAUUCAAAUCUGAACCAUGUGAAUCCAUUAAUGUAGAGAGAGAAAGAGAAAGAUUGUUAAGGAUAGUGGGGAGGUGUAGGGUAUUUUUGGAAUAAAGAAAAUAGUGGGGAGGUGUAGAAUAUUUUUGAAAUAAAUUAAAUUAAUGGGGAGGUACAGGUCCCACUUGGGGAGGUGUAGGGAGCAACACCCGAAGUAGUCCUCGUUCAAAACGGCUCAAUCUUCCGUGAAGAGGCCCAGAGAAUUUGCUGGCUCACCAAAACUCUAAAAUGUAGUCAAUUGAUCAUUG